GCGAUGUGCAAGCACGGAGGGCGGCCCGGGGGUGCGAUACCGCACGCCCGGGGCCAGGACUCUUUACCUUGUCGCUGUAAUCCCUCAGGACCCGCUCGAUAGCCCCUGCUUCGCCGGCCCGGACGAUGUAGAGGGCGCGCUCCUCAUCCAUGGCCGCAGGUGCGGGGGAGCCGCGGCCGCUCUGCGCGCCCAAGCCGCUGCCUCCAGGACAACAAUCCCUGGUGGGACAGCUUACAUUGGGUGAUGAGUUUCCGGUGCUCAUCGCGAGAGUCUUCCAUGGUGUAAAGGGUUUGCUUGGUGAUGCUGUUCAGGUCCACGUUCCUCCAGUCUUCCAGCAUUUGGAACGUGAUGUCUGCACUGUGGAUCACUGUUCGAGAUGCCUAUAAUCCAAUCCAAUCAACUCGUUAGCUCAUGGGUUGUUAAAACCCUUUCACUGUAUUUCCUUUUAUGCCUUGUUAAUGCAUCUGCUUAUGGUAUUUUGCAAACUACCCUGAAAUUCCGGGAAAUUCAAUUUCAGGAAAGCACCAGAAGACUCUGUAACUCAGAAGACGCAGACACUGUUUUCUCCUAUGGUUCUUUCCACACAUCUCUUUUUCUCUACAAGAAACUGCGAGGGUGGGCUAGGCCAGACCAAACCCUGCUGUUUCCAGUCCCUUUGGUCUUGACCCCAUGGAACAAUGGGAUGAAGCCCAGAGAUCUGUCAGCUUUCUGAUGUAAGCCUGUGGGAUGGGAGCUCUGUGCUGAAUUAUCCUUGUGUCUCCAGUACCUGAGAAGCUGCAGGCUGGGAUUUAGAAGUGUUCUUGCUACCCCUGGGCCUAACUUAAUCCCAGAAAUUUCAAAGUGUGUAUUUUUCAUAUAAAUACAUUCUGAAGCAGUUUAUGCUCUAGUUUUCUGUUUUUGCUUUUUUAAAAUGUUGCUAUAAUGAUUAAAACAUACAUGAAUAAUUAGGUUGGAGGAAAAGGGAAACUAUACCAUACAUCUCAGUAGUUUGUUAGUGGAUGGAGGGAUGUGUAUAGUGUGUGAAUAAUUAUAUAUAUGUAUUUUUUUUUCUUUAAAGCUGUGGCUUUUUCAUGGAACCCUUAUUAGUGAACUUAAAUUUGCAAGUUGGAACAAUACUUGGAACAAUAUCAUCAAGUUGAAACAAUACUGAGAAAAGCUAAGAAAAAUAUGUAUCUAGGAUCAUUUCCUUUAUUUGCAUGUUUUCAAAAUGUCUUUUAAU
rnacentral:lncRNA from 1 species